CUUUAACCUGUAAUUAGAUAACACCUUAGCAAUUAGUUAACUGAGAAAACUCAGGAGUGGAGAUAAAUUCAGAGAUGCUUAUAAGGGAGGUAAGAGGACUCCAAAAUUAGACUUGCGGUCAACUUCAGAUGAAACAUUUCAACAGUGAGGGAUCAGGAGAGCUCCCAGACCAGAAAGGACAAUUUGCUUUAAGUAUCUUCCCCCUCCCCACAACCCCACCCUAAGCCCAAAAGUAGGUUUAUAGCUGCCUUUGGAAGAUCAUGCCCCUUAGCCAUCCCCACCCAUUUCUGACAAACAAGGAUACCUAGAGAUUCUCCCCACCCAUUUCUGACAAACAAGGAUACCUAGAGAUUCUGCCGCCAUACUCCGAGCACCCCUGGAUAUCUGUGCAGCAUGGAAGGCUGAUGUACAGGUGUACCUCAACUCGUGUUAACAGCCAUGCUCCUAAUGUAUGUGGACAUUUUUGUAACUCAACUCAUAUGGUGACUGUACUUGAGAAGCUAUUUAAGGGAACCCAGAGGUGAAUUCUUUUGUAAAGAAUCCUUUUGUAAUGCAAUUAAUUAUCCCUUAAUGUAUCUGUUUUGUAAGUUUGGAUUUUUGUAUAUCAGGUUUACCUUAAGCUUCUCUACUGAGGCAUUCUGAGCGGUGGCAAUCAUACCACCCUAUCCACAGAGUAGAGGACCAGUGCAUACUUCUCAAGUACCUUCUGAGGAAGUACCUGGCCAAAAUUGUGGCCAAAUGCAGUGAGAAGCAGCAGGCGGCAAAGGCAGGCUUACUGCUGUCAAUAUUGCUUAAAAUAUUC
rnacentral:lncRNA from 1 species